UCCAGACUCCUACGGGAGGCAGCAGUGGGGAAUAUUGCACAAUGGGGGAAACCCUGAUGCAGCGACGCCGCGUGAGUGAAGAAGUAUUUCGGUAUGUAAAGCUCUAUCAGCAGGGAAGAAAAUGACGGUACCUGAUUAAGAAGCCCCGGCUAACUACGUGCCAGCAGCCGCGGUAAUACGUAGGGGGCAAGCGUUAUCCGGAUUUACUGGGUGUAAAGGGAGCGUAGACGGCAGCGCAAGUCUGGAGUGAAAGGCGGGGGCCCAACCCCCGGACUGCUCUGGAAACUGUGUAACUUGAGUGCAGGAGAGGUAAGCGGAAUUCCUAGUGUAGCGGUGAAAUGCGUAGAUAUUAGGAGGAACACCAGUGGCGAAGGCGGCUUACUGGACUGUAACUGACGUUGAGGCUCGAAAGCGUGGGGAGCAAACAGGAUUAGAUACCCCGGUACUU
rnacentral:rRNA from 1 species